GAUGAACGCUGGCGGCGUGCCUAAUACAUGCAAGUCGAGCGAACAGACGAGGAGCUUGCUCCUCUGACGUUAGCGGCGGACGGGUGAGUAACACGUGGAUAACCUACCUAUAAGACUGGGAUAACUUCGGGAAACCGGAGCUAAUACCGGAUAAUAUAUUGAACCGCAUGGUUCAAUAGUGAAAGACGGUUUUGCUGUCACUUAUAGAUGGAUCCGCGCCGCAUUAGCUAGUUGGUAAGGUAACGGCUUACCAAGGCAACGAUGCGUAGCCGACCUGAGAGGGGGAUCGGCCACACUGGAACUGGAACACGGUCCAGACUCCUACGGGAGGCAGCAGUAGGGAAUCUUCCGCAGUGGGCGAAAGCCUGACGGAGCAACGCCGCGUGAGUGAUGAAGGUCUUCGGAUCGUAAAACUCUGUUAUUAGGGAAGAACAAAUGUGUAAGUAACUAUGCACGUCUUGACGGUACCUAAUCAGAAAGCCACGGCUAACUACGUG
rnacentral:rRNA from 1 species